rnacentral:hammerhead_ribozyme from 1 species
AUCCAACUGACGAGUCCCAAAUAGGACGAAACGCGCGUCGUGAAU